UCUUGUCAUGGUUCGUGGGAGAGGCAUUCUUCUUUUUCUUCUCCUCCUCCUCCUUCUUCUUAACAACAACCUUCCCCUUGGAGUUUUGGACUGAAGAAACCAGCCGUGAGGAGGAUCCCGGAGUCGCAGUACUUUGGGUUCGGCAGCGGCGAGAAGGUUGGAGUUUCAUCGAUUCUUUCUUCUUCGAGCUUCAGAUCUCGUAGCGAGCCCUAGUUCACGGGACUUGGUGAAUCCGACUCUGUAGCUCUGAGCCAGGAGAAGAUCAAGUCUAGGAUCGGGGGGUGUCUGGGAGUCAUAUUUUCUGCUUUUAUCAGCAUCUCUAUAUUACCUUUUUGUGAGUGUAAGGCUUGUAUUCUGACUGUAUUUGUGUUUUGCAAACUGUUGGGUUGUAUUUGUAUUCUGUAGGGCUGCUAAAGCCUGUACUUGUAGUAUUUCAGUUCUCAGUAUCCUAUUUGUGCUUCUAUAUUACUGUUCAU